rnacentral:sRNA from 1 species
AUUAGAACGCUUUUUACACGCCACUCGAAUCGAUCAGCGCGAACAAAAGGAGCGGACCAAAGAGAGGAAGAGCUGGUGAGAUAAGCUCGCUUGAGAGAGUGCGAGUGUAACGACUCAUGGCUCGCCUACGUCACAAAUGUAGUGUUUGAGUUUGUUUUGACUCUUGCUUCGCGUUGAUAAUGCAAAAUAAACGAUAAAUAGCAACUCGGA